rnacentral:rRNA from 1 species
GAUGAACGCUGGCGGCGUGCCUAACACAUGCAAGUCGAACGGAGUCCAGCCUUUAAGACCUUCGGGUCAAAGAGGGGAAGACUGAGUGGCGGACGGGUGAGUAACACGUGGGCAACCUGGCUCAUAGAGGGGGAUAACAGAGAGAAAUUUCUGCUAAUACCGCAUAAGCACACACUGCCGCAUGGCAGAGGGUGAAAAGAGAAUCGCUAUGAGAUGGACCCGCGUCUGAUUAGCCAGUUGGCAGGGUAAGAGCCUACCAAAGCGACGAUCAGUAGCCGAUCUGAGAGGAUGAACGGCCACAUUGGGACUGAGACACGGCCCAAACUCCUACGGGAGGCAGCAGUGGGGGAUAUUGCACAAUGGGGGAAACCCUGAUGCAGCGACGCCGCGUGAGUGAAGAAGUAUUUCGGUAUGUAAAGCUCUAUCAGCAGGGAAGAUAAUGACAGUACCUGAAGAAGAAGCCCCGGCUAACUACGUG